rnacentral:rRNA from 1 species
UGGGGAAUUUUGGACAAUGGGCGAAAGCCUGAUCCAGCAAUGCCGCGUGUGUGAAGAAGGCCUUCGGGUUGUAAAGCACUUUUGUCCGGAAAGAAAUCCUUGGCUCUAAUACAGUCGGGGGAUGACGGUACCGGAAGAAUAAGCACCGGCUAACUACGUGCCAGCAGCCGCGGUAAUACGUAGGGUGCAAGCGUUAAUCGGAAUUACUGGGCGUAAAGCGUGCGCAGGCGGUUUGCUAAGACCGAUGUGAAAUCCCCGGGCUCAACCUGGGAACUGCAUUGGUGACUGGCAGGCUAGAGUAUGGCAGAGGGGGGUAGAAUUCCACGUGUAGCAGUGAAAUGCGUAGAGAUGUGGAGGAAUACCGAUGGCGAAGGCAGCCCCCUGGGCCAAUACUGACGCUCAUGCACGAAAGCGUGGGGGAGCAAAACAGGAUUAGAUACCCCUGGUAGUCCACGCCCUAAACGAUGUCAACUAGUUGUUGGGGAUUCAUUUCCUUAGUAACGUAGCUAACGCGUGAAGUUGACCGCCUGGGGGAGUACGGUCGCAAGAUUAAAACUCAAAUGAAUUGACGGGGUCAUAGCUGUUUCCU